CGGAGUGUAGCGCAGCCUGGUAGCGCACAUCGUUCGGGACGAUGGGGUCGCAGGUUCGAAUCCUGCCACUCCGACCA
rnacentral:tRNA from 16 species